UGGGGAAUUUUGGACAAUGGGCGCAAGCCUGAUCCAGCCAUGCCGCGUGAGUGAAGAAGGCCUUAGGGUUGUAAAGCUCUUUCGCCCGCGAAGAUAAUGACGGUAGCGGGAGAAGAAGCCCCGGCUAACUCCGUGCCAGCAGCCGCGGUAAUACGGAGGGGGCUAGCGUUGUUCGGAAUUACUGGGCGUAAAGCGUACGUAGGCGGAUGCGCAAGUUGGGGGUGAAAUCCCGGGGCUUAACCUCGGAAUUGCCCUCAAAACUGCACGUCUUGAGACCGAGAGAGGUAAGGGGAAUUCCUAGUGUAGAGGUGAAAUUCGUAGAUAUUAGGAAGAACACCAGUGGCGAAGGCGCCUUACUGGCUCGGUACUGACGCUGAGGUACGAAAGCGUGGGGAGCAAACA
rnacentral:rRNA from 1 species